rnacentral:lncRNA from 1 species
CUUGGCGAGCUCCUCCCAGGCGACACAGAGGGCGACGAAGAGGGGACGGCGAGCACCGCCGUUAGUGUGGCGACGCGGGUGUUCGGAGAGGGCGAUGCCGAGCACCGCCCACAGUGCUGCCGCACGGCGGAGGAGCAAGAGGUCGGCGUAGUGCUUGAAUCGAACGAGGAAGGUAAGAAUGCACCAAAUGACCAGCUGGCAGUUGUGAGGGUGAAUGCUAGGGCCAAAGUUUCAACACAGGCUGGUGGUUCUGCUAGGGUUGAUCUGCAGGCUAAUGUUGCAGGAUCAAGCAGUUCCACUAGUGCAGCAGUGACUGUCACUUUUGGGAAAGCUUCUAUCUCACUUUCAGCCCAAGAACCUGCCAAGCAAACUACAAGGAAGAAAACUGGAGUACCACUACUGCUUAUUCCUCCAUGGGAAUCAGCCAAGCUAUGA